rnacentral:rRNA from 1 species
GGGUCCACCUCCCACCCGUGUUUAUUGUACCUUGUUGCUUCGGUGCGCCCGCCUCACGGCCGCCGGGGGGCUUCUGCCCCCGGGUCCGCGCGCACCGGAGACACCAUUGAACUCUGUCUGAAGAUUGCAGUCUGAGCAUAAACUAAAUAAGUUAAAACUUUCAACAACGGAUCUCUUGGUUCCGGCAUCGAUGAAGAACGCAGCGAAAUGCGAUAACUAAUGUGAAUUGCAGAAUUCAGUGAAUCAUCGAGUCUUUGAACGCACAUUGCGCCCCCUGGUAUUCCGGGGGGCAUGCCUGUCCGAGCGUCAUUGCUGCCCUCAAGCACGGCUUGUGUGUUGGGCUCCGUCCCCCCGGGGACGGGCCCGAAAGGCAGCGGCGGCACCGAGUCCGGUCCUCGAGCGUAUGGGGCUUUGUCACCCGCUCUGUAGGCCCGGCCGGCGCCAGCCGACAACCCAUCAUCCUUUUCAGGUUGACCUCGGAUCAGGUAGGGAUACCCGCUGAACUUAAGCAUAUCAAUAGCCGGAGGAA